UGAAAGAAAAUGGCUAUAGCUCACUGUUGUUUACUGGAAAUAGUAGGGGGAAGGAAAGAUGGAAGUCCAGGUCCAGUGUCAUAUACUGCCCUGCACCUUACUCACUUCUCUGCCUUUAGGGUGAUGCCACACUCAAUCAGAAACUAUGCUACUGCUGAAGAGGUAUAUUGAGCCCUGCCUGGUUAACCUCCAGUGAGGUUAUUAGAGAAUUGGGAGAGGCUCAAAUCAGCAUCCUGCACCUAGUUAUCAAACCAUUGUGAAGUC
rnacentral:lncRNA from 1 species